UACGUAGGGGGCUAGCGUUGUCCGGAAUCAUUGGGCGUAAAGAGCGCGUAGGCGGCCCGGUAAGUCCGCUGUAAAAGUCCAGGGCUCAACCCUGGAAAGCCGGUGGAUACUGUCGGGCUCGAGUCCGGAAGAGGCGAGUGGAAUUCCCAGUGUAGCGGUGAAAUGCGUAGAUAUUGGGAGGAACACCGGUGGCGAAGGCGGCCCCCUGGACCGGUAUUGACGCUGAGGCGCGAAAGCGUGGGUAGCAAACGGG
rnacentral:rRNA from 1 species